GAGUUUGAUCGUGGCUCAGAUUGAACGCUGGCGGCAUGCCUUACACAUGCAAGUCGAACGGCAGCACGGGAGCUUGCUCCUGGUGGCGAGUGGCGAACGGGUGAGUAAUGCAUCGGAACGUAUCCUGGAGUGGGGGAUAACGUAGCGAAAGUUACGCUAAUACCGCAUAUUCUGUGAGCAGGAAAGCGGGGGCCUUCGGGCCUCGCGCUCUUGGAGCGGCCGAUGUCGGAUUAGCUAGUU
rnacentral:rRNA from 1 species